UACGUAGGGGGCGAGCGUUGUCCGGAUUUAUUAGGCGUAAAGAGCUCGUAGGCGGUUCGAUAAGUCGGACGUGAAAUCUCCACGCUCAACGUGGAGGGGCCGUUCGAUACUGUCGUGACUCGAGUCCGGUAGGGGAGUGUGGAAUUCCCGGUGUAGCGGUGAAAUGCGCAGAGAUCGGGAGGAACACCCGUAGCGAAGGCGGCACUCUGGGCCGGUACUGACGCUGAGGAGCGAAAGCGUGGGGAGCAAACAGG
rnacentral:rRNA from 1 species